GGAUGGAUCAUUACCAAAGGAAUAACUCCCUGACGUACUGUGAACUUCCAGCCCGCGUUGUAGGGAGAGUCGCAAUUUUUGGCAGAGGUCGUUGGCAGGAUGCCCCCGAUUAAUUUCGAGGUGUCUUGACAGAGGACUCUGCUUGGAGCGCGUUCUCCGCCCUCUGAGUGCCCUAGGUGCUCGGGUGGCCUUCGCUGGCUGACAUUACCUAAAGUAUUGCCAAUGUCCAAACUGAAGUCUUUUAGAAUAAAAACUAAAGAUAACUUUUAGCAACGGAUCUCUUGGCUCUCGCAACGAUGAAGAACGCAGCGAAAUGCGAUAAGUAUUGUGAAUUGCAGAUACCGUGAAUCAUCAAAUCUUUGAACGCACAUUGCACUGCCUGGAACUCCGGGCAGUAUACCUGUUUGAGUAUCAGGAAACACUCUCACUAGUGCCUCUGAAAAGAGCGCAAGUGGGGACUUGGGCUGACACGAGCGAUUUUCGCCGGUGCAGUCUUAAAUAGAUAUUGCCAGUGGGUCGUGGCUGCUUCGCCUGGCUAACAGAGUUAAUGGGCACUUGUGUCUGUCGCUGUCUAGUUCAGAGGGGUAUGCCUAGGCUAUCAACAUUUGGCAUGUAAAAACACGUACAGAGACCUUUAUAGGCUGUCUGUGACUUUGAUCUCAAAUCAGGUAAGAUUACCCGCUGAACUUAAGCAUAUUAAUAAGCGGAGGAAAAGAAACUAACAAGGAUUCCCCUAGUAAUGGCGAAUGAAGAGGGAACAGCUCAAAUUUAAAAUCUCCUCGGAGAAUUGUAGUUUGUAGAGGCGUUUUCGUUAGCAGCCUGGGUAUAAGUCCCUUGGAAUGGGGCAUCAUAGAGGGUGAGAAUCCCGUCUUUGAUCCAGGUCCUGCUACACUGUGAGGCGCCCUCAAAGAGUCAGGUUGUUUGGGAAUGCAGCCUAAAGUGGGUGGUAUAUUUCAUCUAAAGCUAAAUACAGGCGAGAGACCGAUAGCGAACAAGUACCGUGAGGGAAAGAUGAAAAGAACUUUGAAAAGAGAGUUAAACAGUACGUGAAAUUGCUAAAAGGGAAACGAUUGAAAUCAGUGUUGGUCUCUGGGAAUCAGCUAGGCAGUAAUGCCUGGUGCACUUCCCAGCGGCCAGGUCAACAUCAGUUUUGGCUGAGAUAAAUUAGCACAGGAAGGUGACUCCCCCGGGAGUGUUAUAGCCUGUGUGAGUGUCUUGGCUGGGACUGAGGAAUGCAGCUCAUGCCUUUGGCUGGCGACCCGGGUGCUACUCUCUGUCUAGUUAGUGACAGCGUGCUGACUCUGACUAGAUUGAGGGUACUUGCCUGGUUAGCACAAAUGAGCUCAGGAUGUUGACGAAAUGGUUUUAAACGACCCGUCUUGAAACACGGACCAAGGAGUCUAACACAUAUGCAAGUGUUUGGGUGGCAAGCCCAUACGCGUAAUGAAAGUGAAUGCAGGUGGGAGGCCUUAGGGCCGCACCAUCGACCGGUCAGGAUUUUUAAUGAUAGAUCUGAGUAAGAGCAUAUUUGUUGGGACCCGAAAGAUGGUGAACUAUGCCUGAAUAGGGUGAAGCCAGAGGAAACUCUGGUGGAGGCUCGUAGCGGUACUGACGUGCAAAUCGUUCGUCAAAUUUGGGUAUAGGGGCGAAAGACUAAUCGAACCAUCUAGUAGCUGGUUCCCUC
rnacentral:misc_RNA from 1 species